rnacentral:rRNA from 1 species
UGGGGAAUAUUGCACAAUGGGCGGAAGCCUGAUGCAGCAACGCCGCGUGAGGGAUGACGGCCUUCGGGUUGUAAACCUCUUUUAGCAGGGAAGAAGCGAGAGUGACGGUACCUGCAGAAAAAGCGCCGGCUAACUACGUGCCAGCAGCCGCGGUAAUACGUAGGGCGCAAGCGUUAUCCGGAAUUAUUGGGCGUAAAGAGCUCGUAGGCGGUUUGUCGCGUCUGCUGUGAAAUCCCGAGGCUCAACCUCGGGCCUGCAGUGGGUACGGGCAGACUAGAGUGCGGUAGGGGAGAUUGGAAUUCCUGGUGUAGCGGUGGAAUGCGCAGAUAUCAGGAGGAACACCGAUGGCGAAGGCAGAUCUCUGGGCCGUAACUGACGCUGAGGAGCGAAAGGGUGGGGAGCAAACAGGCUUAGAUACCCUGGUAGUCCACCCGUAAACGUUGGGAACUAGUUGUGGGGACCAUUCCACGGUUUCCGUGACGCAGCUAACGCAUUAAGUUCCCCGCCUGGGGAGUACGGCCGCAAGGCU